GUACAGCACCCAGCCCACUCGAUAGCUCUAUACCUGGGGCUAGAAGCGGCCACACUGGAUACACCCUCACAAACUUGUUGUGACGCUGUAUCAACUCCAUUGGUUAUAUGGAGUCUAUUGGCUGAUGAGGGGUGCAAACUUAAAAAUCAAGAGGGCACAGGGACAUUGAUUCUGGAUCAAAGCUUAAAAGUUGAAAGGGCAUUGAAUGCAAAAGUAAAUGACCACUCAGAAAUACAGACGGACCAUCAGACAGACAGGCGAGGUAGAUAAAACGAAUAUACACAAUAGGUGAAGCAAUCUUCGAGUUGGAAAAUCGUGAUGGCAGGUGUAGCACGAGAUCGGUCGAGAUCGACGAGAAAGAUGCCGACCAUGGGUGCCAGUGGUUCAGCUACCUGUACCAGGCCGUACCAGUCCUGGGGAGCAUUUGGGGGCUGGAACCUGGCACCCACAGGUGUUAAAUCUCUAACCAGAUAUGUGCUCUGCUCUCAACACGUGUGCUCAAGAAGGCGGUGGAGACAAGCAACCAAGUCUCUGUGGGACUUAUUAACAGUCUGUCGCCCCCUAAACCGUCUCCGUCUUGUUAGAAGAACUCUGUGAUGGUCAUGGAAUAUCAAGAGCUGCUGAACUCAGAUACCAACUUACAGCAAUAUAUUUCUCGCCUCUUACUAAAUGACAUGCUCCUUUACGUAUUAUUUAAUAAUCAUUGUUCAUCGUUUUUUGUUUUGUACGUAUCCUAUUUUACGUGAAGUUAGAUGCUUUAUGUUGAUGACCGGCCUAGUUAUUUAUAAAAGCUAGCUUUGUAUGCCAUACUCUACACACGCGCACCAUGUGAUUUUUUUAAAAACGAUAAAUGCUGCAUGAGGGCGAGGGUGUCAUCAAGGUAAAUAUGGUUUAUGCUAUGUUCCCAACCCACCGGACUAUCCAAGAAGGUUAAUAAACCACAGUAUUCUCACUUAAACAGAGCAAAAUUUAACUGAAAACGCUUCGAAGUGACCGAUAAGCUAAGAAUGCAAAUGUCUUGCGUACGCAGGUUGUAACUAGCAGGGUUCAUAACAACCGGUCUGUUACGUGGGCGUCAUAUUCGUCCCAUCGUGAUAAAAUGUAGUGUCUCUUACAGUGUCAAUGUACCAGUAUUGCUGUCACUCAGGUUGCGUACGUGAUAGUGCAUAUGUUACUAAAAUGAUGCAAUGUUGCUUUCACUUAGUAGAACACAGGAUAUUAAAAAUGUCUAAUAUACCAUA